rnacentral:misc_RNA from 1 species
GAUGAAGAACGUAGCGAAAUGCGAUAAGUAAUGUGAAUUGCAGAAUUCAGUGAAUCAUCGAAUCUUUGAACGCACAUUGCGCCCCUUGGUAUUCCGAGGGGCAUGCCAGUUCGAGCGUCAUUAUAACCCCUCAAGCUCAGCUUGGUGUUGGGGCCUGCUGCACUGGCAGCCCUUAAAAUCAGUGGCGGCGCCAUCUGGCUCUAAGCGUAGUAAUUCUUCUCGCUAUGGAGUCCUGGUGGAUGCUUGCCAUCAACCCUCAAUUUUUCUAUGGUUGACCUCGGAUCAGGUAGGGAUACCCGCUGAACUUAAGCAUAUCAAUAAGCGGAGGA